AACAUCGCCUCCUGCAAAAAUCAAGUAUAGGAGGUCCUACCUGCCCAGUGACUGUCAGUUCAACGGCCGCGGUAUUUUGACCGUGCUAAGGUAGCGCAAUCACUUGUCUUUUAAAUGGAGACCUGUAUGAAUGGUUUAACGAGGGCUUAACUGUCUCCCUUUUCUGGUCAAUGAAAUUGAUCUGCCCGUGCAGAAGCGGGCAUAAUAAUACAAGACGAGAAGACCCUUUGGAGCUUUAGACAAAAGGCCAACUGUAUAAAAGACUCUUAAUAAAAAUAGUCCAAAUAAAGCAGCAUACUGGCCAACGUCUUCGGUUGGGGCGACCGCGGGGGAAAACAAAGCCCCCAUGUGGAUUGGGAAUACUCCUAAAACCAAGAGAUACCUCUCUAAGUCACAGAACAUCUGACCUAAAGAUCCGGCCCACAAGCCGAUCAACGAACCAAGUUACCCUAGGGAUAACAGCGCAAUCCUCUUCAAGAGUUCAUAUCGACAAGAGGGUUUACGACCUCGAUGUUGGAUCAGGACAUCCUAAUGGUGCAGCCGCUAUUAAGGGUUCGUUUGUUCAACGAUUAAAGUCCUACGUGA
rnacentral:rRNA from 1 species